rnacentral:rRNA from 1 species
UACGUAGGGAGCAAGCGUUGUCCGGAAUCAUUGGGCGUAAAGCGCGCGUAGGUGGCCACAUAAGUCCGUUGUGAAAGUCAAAGGCUCAACCUUUGAAAGCCGAUGGAUACUGUGUGGCUAGAGUACGGAAGAGGCGAGUGGAAUUCCUGGUGUAGCGGUGGAAUGCGCAGAUAUCUGGAGGAACACCGGUGGCGAAGGCGGGUCUCUGGGCAGUAACUGACGCUGAGGAGCGAAAGCGUGGGGAGCGAACAGG